rnacentral:misc_RNA from 1 species
GGGGGAUCGGGACCAGACCUAAGGGCCCCCAGGUCCCGAUUUUGAUUCAACUCAGUUCGGUUGAAUUUUGAUCAAAUCCAACAGUAAAAUAUCUUUUAAAAUUUUUCUUUUGUUUUUUAAGCGAAAAUUUCAGUUUUGGCCCGAAACCUUACAAAAUUGGCGAGUUUCAUUUCCAGGUUUGACCAGUGGUUCCGAACUGGACCGUGGCCACUUCUAGCCCGAAUAUGGUUUUUUGAAUACCUAGCUAAGAAAUUCAAAUAUUAUUGUGCAUCAUAAAUACUGUUUCUAUGACCAGUUCAUAGCUACUACUACCACCUGCAUUCAUAGC